UCCGGGGGGGGCAAGCGUUGUUCGGAAUUACUGGGCGUAAAGGGCUCGUAGGCGGCCAACUAAGUCGGAUGUGAAAUCCCCAGGCUUAACCUGGGAACUGCAUCCGAUACUGGAUGGCUUGAAUCCGGGAGAGGGAUGCAGAAUUCCAGGUGUAGCGGUGAAAUGCGUAGAUAUCUGGAGGAAUACCGGUGGCGAAGGCGGCAUCCUGGACCGGCAUUGACGCUGAUGAGCGAAAGCUAGGGGAGCAAACGGG
rnacentral:rRNA from 1 species